AUAUGAGGGAUAUCAUUUGGAGAAGUAUGGGGAUGAAAGUAGCCAGAACUUGACAAAGAACUGUGGUACCGAGCUUGCGGGGGAAAGAAGAGAGGCAAAGUAUAUGGGUUAAGCAAUCUUAAGAAUGAUUUUAACGUUCAGCAUCAUGGCAAACAAGACCAAGAGAUCGAAAGAUUGAACGUGAUUAUCCAAGAUAUAGUGAAAGUAAAUGAAGAAGAAAAAGAAAGGUUGAACGAUAUUAUUGCGGGAUUGGUGGUGGAAAAAGAGAAAGAUAAGGCGGAGAAAGAGGCUAUGAAUGAGAGGAUGGCAAACAUUGAAGCGAUGCUAAAAGCUAGGUUUCAAAACGUAUAAACACUUUGUUUUGAAUAUGUAUUUUGUUAUGAUAACUUUGGUAUUUGAUGUUUCAAGUGGGAUGUUUUAUAUAAUUGUGAAAAUUUGAUAAUA